GGAAGGACUUGGACUCGGAGGAGGGACAGAUGUCCGAAACUGGGGCAGCCUGGUUUAUCAGGCUAUUUCAAUAGCAAAUAAUGCAUGCUGGGCUAUUGGAGAACUUGCAGUUAAGAUUUGAGUUAUUUUCUGUGGUCACCACAUUUUAAAGCAACAGCUCAAAGAAAAAGCGACAACUUUAAAAGAUGAACUUGGAG